rnacentral:rRNA from 1 species
GUGGGGAAUCUUGCGCAAUGGGCGAAAGCCUGACGCAGCCAUGCCGCGUGAAUGAUGAAGGUCUUAGGAUUGUAAAAUUCUUUCACCGGGGACGAUAAUGAUGGUACCCGGAGAAGAAGCUCCGGCUAACUUCGUGCCAGCAGCCGCGGUAAUACGAAGGGGGCUAGCGUUGCUCGGAAUUACUGGGCGUAAAGGGCGCGUAGGCGGACAGCUUAGUCAGAGGUGAAAGCCCAGGGCUCAACCUUGGAAUUGCCUUUGAUACUGGCUGUCUUGAGUUUGGGAGAGGUGAGUGGAACUCCGAGUGUAGAGGUGAAAUUCGUAGAUAUUCGGAAGAACACCAGUGGCGAAGGCGACUCACUGGCUCAUUACUGACGCUGAGGCUCGAAAGCGUGGGGAGCAAACAGGAUUAGAAACCCGAGUAGUCC